UCACCACGAACGCUGGCGGCGUGCUUAACACAUGCAAGUCGAGCGGUAAGGCCCUUCGGGGUACACGAGCGGCGAACGGGUGAGUAACACGUGAGCAAUCUGCCCUUCACUCUGGGAUAACCCUCGGAAACGGGAGCUAAUACCGGAUAUGACCACUUCACGCAUGUGAUGGUGGUGGAAAGUUCUGGCGGUGGAGGAUGAGCUCGCGGCCUAUCAGCUUGUUGGUGAGGUAAUGGCUCACCAAGGCUUCGACGGGUAGCCGGCCUGAGAGGGUGACCGGCCACACUGGGACUGAGACACGGCCCAGACUCCUACGGGAGGCAGCAGUGGGGAAUAUUGGACAAUGGGCGAAAGCCUGAUCCAGCAACGCCGCGUGAGGGAUGACGGCCUUCGGGUUGUAAACCUCUUUCAGCAGGGACGAAGCGCAAGUGACGGUACCUGCAGAAGAAGCACCGGCCAACUACGUGCCAGCAGCCGCGGUAAUACGUAGGGUGCGAGCGUUGUCCGGAAUUAUUGGGCGUAAAGGGCUCGUAGGCGGUUUGUCGCGUCGGGAGUGAAAACUCAGGGCUUAACCCUGAGCCUGCUUCCGAUACGGGCAGACUAGAGGUAUGCAGGGGAGAACGGAAUUCCUGGUGUAGCGGUGAAAUGCGCAGAUAUCAGGAGGAACACCGGUGGCGAAGGCGGUUCUCUGGGC
rnacentral:rRNA from 1 species